rnacentral:rRNA from 1 species
AUGAGCCGCCAAGUUCCACGAACCUCCAAGUUCGACUACAUUGUGAGACGAAGAACGCCAAGUACCUCUCCGAAAACGAACAUGCACCACUACGCCCGGAGGCCUCGGAUUCGUCAAGUCCAACAACGAUUGUUCUCAACUACCCAUGACCCCGAACGUCUACAAAAACGGGUACUACUACCGUCACCGAGAUCACGAGAACCUCUACCUACGAACCUGGAGCAAGUGAGAACCUCUACCGAUGAACUCCGAGCGCGUACGACGACCGUUGUCGAAAACCCGUGCACGACUACCGUCGACCGCGAAGGGCUUGGAGUCAUCAAGUACCUCUCCGAAAGAUCGUGA